rnacentral:rRNA from 1 species
GACGAACGCUGGCGGCGUGCUUAACACAUGCAAGUCGAACGGGCCUUGUCCCCUUUUUUUUGGGGGUGGGGUUAGUGGCGAACGGGUGAGUAACACGUGAGUAACCUGCCCCUCACUUCUGGAUAACCGCUUGAAAGGGUGGCUAAUACGGGGUGUUCUGGCCUGCUCGCAUGGGUGGGUUUGGAAAGAUUCGACCGGUUUUGGUUGUUUUGGUGGGGGAUGGGCUCGCGGCCUAUCAGCUUGUUGGUGGGGUGAUGGCCUGCCAAGGCUUUGACGGGUAGCCGGCCUGAGAGGGUGGGCGGUCACACUGGGACUGGGACACGGCCCAGACUCCUACGGGAGGCAGCAGUGGGGAAUAUUGCACAAUGGGCGCAAGCCUGAUGCAGCGACGCCGCGUGAGGGAUGGAGGCCUUCGGGUUGUGAACCUCUUUCGCCAGUGAAGAAGGUCCUGCUCUUUGUGGUGGGGUUGACGGUAGCUGGGUUAAUGAAGCGCCGGCUAACUACGUG